AGAGUUUGAUCAUGGCUCAGAUUGAACGCUGGCGGCAGGCCUAACACAUGCAAGUCGAGCGGUAGCACAGAAGAGCUUGCUCUUUGGGUGACGAGCGGCGGACGGGUGAGUAAUGUCUGGGAAACUGCCUGAUGGAGGGGGAUAACUACUGGAAACGGUAGCUAAUACCGCAUAACCUCGCAAGAGCAAAGAGGGGGACCUUCGGGCCUCUCGCCAUCAGAUGUGCCCAGAUGGGAUUAGCUAGUAGGUGAGGUAAUGGCUCACCUAGGCGACGAUCCCUAGCUGGUCUGAGAGGAUGACCAGCCACACUGGAACUGAGACACGGUCCAGACUCCUACGGGAGGCAGCAGUGGGGAAUAUUGCACAAUGGGCGCAAGCCUGAUGCAGCCAUGCCGCGUGUGUGAAGAAGGCCUUCGGGUUGUAAAGCACUUUCAGCGGGGAGGAAGGCGGUAAGGUUAAUAACCUUAUCGAUUGACGUUACCCGCAGAAGAAGCACCGGCUAACUCCGUGCCAGCAGCCGCGGUAAUACGGAGGGUGCAAGCGUUAAUCGGAAUGACUGGGCGUAAAGCGCACGCAGGCGGUCUGUUAAGUUGGAUGUGAAAUCCCCGGGCUUAACCUGGGAACUGCAUUCAAAACUGACAGGCUAGAGUCUUGUAGAGGGGGGUAGAAUUCCAGGUGUAGCGGUGAAAUGCGUAGAGAUCUGGAGGAAUACCGGUGGCGAAGGCGGCCCCCUGGACAAAGACUGACGCUCAGGUGCGAAAGCGUGGGGAGCAAACAGGAUUAGAUACCCUGGUAGUCCACGCUGUAAACGAUGUCGAUUUGGAGGUUGUGCCCUUGAGGCGUGGCUUCCGGAGCUAACGCGUUAAAUCGACCGCCUGGGGAGUACGGCCGCAAGGUUAAAACUCAAAUGAAUUGACGGGGGCCCGCACAAGCGGUGGAGCAUGUGGUUUAAUUCGAUGCAACGCGAAGAACCUUACCUACUCUUGACAUCCAGAGAACUUAGCAGAGAUGCUUUGGUGCCUUCGGGAACUCUGAGACAGGUGCUGCAUGGCUGUCGUCAGCUCGUGUUGUGAAAUGUUGGGUUAAGUCCCGCAACGAGCGCAACCCUUAUCCUUUGUUGCCAGCGAUUCGGUCGGGAACUCAAAGGAGACUGCCGGUGAUAAACCGGAGGAAGGUGGGGAUGACGUCAAGUCAUCAUGGCCCUUACGAGUAGGGCUACACACGUGCUACAAUGGCGUAUACAAAGAGAAGCGACCUCGCGAGAGCAAGCGGACCUCAUAAAGUACGUCGUAGUCCGGAUUGGAGUCUGCAACUCGACUCCAUGAAGUCGGAAUCGCUAGUAAUCGUAGAUCAGAAUGCUACGGUGAAUACGUUCCCGGGCCUUGUACACACCGCCCGUCACACCAUGGGAGUGGGUUGCAAAAGAAGUAGGUAGCUUAACCUUCGGGAGGGCGCUUACCACUUUGUGAUUCAUGACUGGGGUGAAGUCGUAACAAGGUAACCGUAGGGGAACCUGCGGUUGGAUCACCU
rnacentral:rRNA from 2 species